ensembl:lncRNA
GGGCGUGGUGGCGGGUGUCUGUAGUCCCAGCUACUCGGGAGGCCGAGGCAGGAGAAUGGCGAGAACCCGGGAGGCGGAGCGUGCCAUGAGCCAAGAUUGACCCACUGCACUCCAGCCUGGGAUACAGAGCUAGGCUCUGCCUCAAAAAAAUAAAAAAAUAAAUAAAUAAAUAAAAAAGACCCCAUGGUAUAUGCUUGUCGUCCUAGCUACUUGGGAGGCUGAGACGAGAGGAUCAGUAGCUCAGAAGGAACUCCAGAACUGAGUUCUGAACAAGUGAAGCUCGAGAGGCAGUGACACAAUCACUGCUCACUGCAACCUCCACCUCGACCUCCUGGGCUCAAUUGAUCCUCCUGCCUUAGCCUUCCAGGUAGCUGAGACUAGAGGAGCGUACCACCAUGCCUGGCUAAUUUUUUGUACUUUUUGUAGAGAUAGGGUUUUGCCAUGUUGAACCUGGGAGGCAGAAGUUGCAGUGAGCUGAGAUCGCGCCACUGCAUUCCAGCCUGGCGACAGAGCAAGACUCCAUCUCAAAAAAAAAAAAAAAAAGAGAGAGCUGGGUGUGGUGGCUCAUGCCUGUAAUCCCAGCACUUUGUGAGGCCAAGACAGGUGGAUCACAAGGUCAGGAGAUCGAGACUAUCCUGGCCAACAUGGUGAAAUCCCUUCUCUACUAAAAAUACAAAAAUUGGCUAGGCUUGGUGGAGCAUGCCUGUAAUCCCAGCUACUCGAGAGGUUGAGGCAGGAGAAUCGCUUGAACCUGGGAGGCAGAGAUUCAGUGAGCUGAGAUUGCACCACUUCAAAAAAAAAGACCUUGACUCCAGUGGACUGAAACUCACCGAAUAGGUUUUAAAAAUCCAUGAGUUGGCUGGGCGUGGUGGCUCACGCCUGUAAUCCGUGCUUUGGGAGGCCGAGGUGGGCAGAUCACGAGGUCAGGAGUUCGAGACCAGCCUGGCCAACAAAGUGAAACCCCCGUCUCUACUAAAAAACAAAAUACAGGCCAGGUGCGGUUGGUCACGCCUGUAAUCCCAGUACUUCAGGAGACUGAGGCGGGCGGAUCACGAGGUCAGGAGAUGGAGACCAUCCUGGCUAACAUGGUAAAACCCCGUCUCUACUAAAAAAAAAAAAAAAAUACAAAAAAAUUAGCCAGGUGUGGUGGUGGGUGCCUGUAGUCCCAGGUACUCGGGAGGCUGAGGCAGGAGAAUGGUGUGAACCUGGGAGGCGGAGCUUGCAGUGAGCCGAGAUUGCGUCACCGCACUCUAGCCUGGGUGAUAGAGACUCCGUCUCAAAAAAAAAAAAAAAAACACAACAAAAAUUAGCUGGAUGGGCAUGCGCCCGUAGUCCCAGCUAUUCAGGAGGCCGAGGAAGGAGAAUCACUUGAACCUGAGAGGCAGAGGUUGCAGCAAGCCGAGAUCUGCCAAUGCACACCAGCCCCUGCGAGUGUGAGACUCUGUCUCAAAAAAAAAAGAAGCCGGGCAUGGUGGUGCAUGCCUGUAAUCCCAGCACUUUGGGAGGCCAAGGCAGGCAGACUGUAUGAGCUCAGGUGUUCAAGACCACCCUGGGCAACAUGAUGAAACCUCCCCUCUACUAAAACAGAAAAAAUUAGCUGGGCGUGGUGGCGCACGCCUGUAGUCCCAGCUACUCAAGAGGCUGAGGCAGGAAAAUCGCUUGAAUCCAGAAGGUGGAGGUUGCAGUGAGCCAAGAUUGCACCAUUGCAUUCCAGCCUGGGCGACAGAGCAAGACCCUGUCUCCAAAAAAAAAAAAAAAAAA